ensembl:lncRNA
AGCGAGUGUACGGGGAUGAGGUUUGGGAAUCUUGUGUGAAAGUGGGUUUGGCUGAGUGGGGAGAAAUCGCUUUGGGUCAUCGCUCAAGAUAUACGAGAGGAUUGCCGACUUUCUGGGAAUCCUCUGCUCUAGGAAAGCUGAAGAGGCUUUUAAAUGAGUGAGGAAACGUCUGAACAUUUCGGACAUUUUUUCCAGACACGGUACUGGUAAGCCAUGCAUUCU